CCCUUAGAUGUUCUGGGCUGCACGCGCGCUACACUGAUGCAUUCAACAAGUUCUACCUUGGCCGAGAGGCCUGGGAAAUCUUUCAAAUAUGUAUCGUGAUAGGGAUAGAUUAUUGCAAUUAUUAAUCUUGAACGAGGAAUUCCUAGUAAAUGCAGAUCAUCAUUCUGCGUUGAUUACGUCCCUGCCCUUUGUACACACCGCCCGUCGCACCUACCGAUUGAAUGAUCCGGUGAAGCCUCGGGAUUGUGCCCAGAGAACUUUAUUGUGAUUUGGGUGUGAGAACUUGUCUAAACCUUAUCAUUUAGAGGAAGGUGAAGUCGUAACA
rnacentral:rRNA from 1 species